GAUGAACGCUGGCGGCGUGCCUAAUACAUGCAAGUCGAGCGAACAGAUGAGGAGCUUGCUCCUCUGACGUUAGCGGCGGACGGGUGAGUAACACGUGGAUAACCUACCUAUAAGACUGGGAUAACUACGGGAAACCGGAGCUAAUACCGGAUAAUAUAUUGAACCGCAUGGUUCAAUAGUGAAAUACGGUUUUGCUGUCACUUAUAGAUGGAUCCGCGCCGCAUUAGCUAGUUGGUACGGUAACGGCUUACCAAGGCAACGAUGCGUAGCCGACCUGAGAGGGUGAUCGGCCACACUGGGACUGAGACACGGUCCAGACUCCUACGGGAGGCAGCAGUAGGGAAUCUUCCGCAAUGGGCGAAAGCCUGACGGAGCAACGCCGCGUGAGUGAUGAAGGUCUUCGGAUCGUAAAACUCUGUUAUUAGGGAAGAACAAAUGUGUAAGUAACUAUGCACGUCUUGACGGUACCUAAUCAGAAAGCCACGGCUAACUACGUG
rnacentral:rRNA from 1 species